CUGCUGCCUAAAAAGAUGCUGAAAUUGCCCAAAGAAAAAUUAUUUCCAUCUGAUCACAGCACUUUCUCCCUUGGCUGGAACACUGACUGUGGUUUUGGGUCUGUGGUUUUUGAUUUUUUUUUGUUUUUUGUUUUUUUUUAAUUCAUGAAUUUUUUGGUCUUCAUUUCCAUCAUUGUGAGAGUCACUGUGCGACCCAACAGACUAGCUGCAAGUCCUGAAGAAACUACAGCAGGACAAAAGAUCAGGAACCCAGCACAAGUUGAUGCAAGCAAAGAAACAAGAAAAAAGCCCUGCUUUUGCGAACAACCUGGCUGCUGGGCUUCAUAAGGAGUCGGGCUGACAUUCAGUGUUUCAUUUGGACUCCAGCUAGGAAGCUGCAGCAGCCACUGAAAACUAAAAAACCUGAAUGAACAGCAGCUUUCAUAUUAUGAAUCUUUCUAAGCAACAGCAAGGAAACUAAGAGACGGGAUUCUGACUCACAAGUUGAGCAGUGGGACGGUGGCAGUGCCCUGUCCCGCAGGGUCAGGACGCGGCUCCUGUUUGUCUGCCCGCUUCCUCGGCUGCUGCGGCUUUCUCGGUGCGGCGAGAGCCCAGACGGAAAGGAAUGAGCUGUUUCCUGGAGCCCUCUGCAGACGUGGAAACUUUCAAGGGAUCGUGCUUCUCCUGCCUCGCUGGGAAGCUGCUUGUUUGAAACGCGGCGAGCAGGAAUGCACCGCGGUGCCAGCAGAGCCCGCCGGAGCCGUCGGCCGGGGUGGAGGAGCGCCGGGGACCGGGGCAGCUCCCGUGGACCGGAGGCAGCAAAGCGUUUUAGGUGCCCAGGGGAAACCUCUCCCCAUGCUGUUUAGGUGUGUAGAAAGCAGAGUCCCCAGUGCGGCUGCGUCUGUGGUGGCAGGUCAUGGAAAAAUGACGUUUCCGCUGGGAAGAGCAAAGGCGCGUUGGGUCCAGGCCAACUUACUUCAUCGGAGAAGUUGCCCUGCAAAUGACUUAACUGUAACUUGUCCUGUGCCUCCACGAGGCAGGGCUGAAUCACUGUCUGGGCUUGCUGUGAAAACGGGACCACUUUCAAGGACCCGCCUUGCCUAGAGCAGGGCCACUUCCAGGAUGCUGCAGACGUGCUCCUGGCAUGGGAGAUACAGGGGGGGGAAAGGAGAAUAAGAGCAAGAGUUACUUGUUUAGGAACCGGCAGGCUUCCUUUUGCUCCAUGUUUGUGCUGAGAUAAGGGUGAUAACAGCCCCUUUCACAGGCCAGGAAAUGCGGUGCCAUAGGAGGAUUCAGGUGCCUACGUGCCCUGUUUUUCCAUAUAGCACCCACCUGUAGGUCCUACAUGAAAUCCAUACAAUUCAUGAGUUUUAGGUAUGUGCAGGUAAUAGGAGGGGCAGUUUUCUCAGCAGCCUCCUCUCUCCCGGUGGGCAGGACGUGCAUGGGAAGACGUGGUUGUUGCCAACAUACAGUGACCAUCAGCUGCUGCUGCUUGAGGGCCACACGCUGGUGCAAGUGAAGGUAUUUUCACGGGGAUAUAAAAGCAAGCGCAGCUCCUUGCUGGACAAAGACAUUAAGGCAAUCUACCCGCACUGGAAACAGGUUUAUGUUAAAACAGCACCAGAAAAUUAAAAACAAAACAAAACAAAAAAAAACAAAAAAAACCCCCCCACUAUCCAGGUGAUUAGAAAUGGAGCGAUCAACUCACUGACCUGUGGCUGGCUAAAUGUUCACCUAGCCCCUUACAAACUGCGGAUGCAGAUCAAUAUUCCUGCACCUCUCCGUGGCCAGGUCCCAGGUUUGCCUCCAUGCCUGCCCAGGGCGCGUUGGCCGCAGGAGCCGUGGCCUCGUGCUGCCUCAGCUUUCCCAGCAGUGUUUCCAACGCCUCUUCUGAUGAGCUCCAGCAUGUUGUAUAAACACUGUGGUCAAGAGGGCGUUAACAGAGGUCAUCUGCGAACGACUAUGGACAGUGGAAAUUUUUAGACCGUGUUGCUUUUUGGGAUCCAAAUACUCCUAUCUGCAAGCUCUCAUGGUUGCAAACAAGCUCCUUAAACUCUGUUUGUGCUGAGGAUCUUGGCUGUGGCCCUGGCAUCGUGUCGGAGAG
ensembl:lncRNA